rnacentral:rRNA from 1 species
GACGAACGCUGGCGGCGUGCUUAACACAUGCAAGUCGAGCGGUAAGGCCCUUUCGGGGGUACGACGAGCGGCGAACGGGUGAGUAACACGUGGGUGACCUGCCCUCAGCUCUGGGAUAAGCCUGGGAAACCGGGUCUAAUACCUGGAUAUGACUCCAUGACGCAUGUUGUGGGGUGGAAAGCCUUGUGCGGCUGAGGAUGGGCCCGCGGCCUAUCAGCUUGUUGGUGGGGUGANGGCCUACCAAGGCGACGACGGGUAGCCGGCCUGAGAGGGCGACCGGCCACACUGGGACUGAGACACGGCCCAGACUCCUACGGGAGGCAGCAGUGGGGAAUCUUGUCGCAAUGGGCGAAAGCCUGACGCAGCGACGCCGCGUGA